rnacentral:ncRNA from 1 species
CGAGCUGACGGGAAUAACGGUUUGAACGGAUCCUUUGCCGAACGAACGCGUGCCGACGACGACGGCGCGUUUAUGGUCUUGCAAAGCGCCGGCAACGAUUUCGGCUGCCGAAGCCGAACCUUCGUUAAUUAAAACAACGAUGGGGAUGUCUUUGAUGAUAUCGCCUUUUGUCGCACUGUAUCUUUGAAUUUCUUCGGGGCGGCGGGGGCGCGUGGAAACGAUUUCCCCUUCGUCUAAAAACAAGUCCGUAACGGAAACGGCCUGAUCCAAAAGACCGCCCGGAUUGUUACGCA